rnacentral:rRNA from 1 species
AUUGAACGCUGGCGGUAGGCCUAACACAUGCAAGUCGAACGGCAGCACAGUAAGAGCUUGCUCUUACGGGUGGCGAGUGGCGGACGGGUGAGGAGUACAUCGGACUCUACUUUUUCGUGGGGGAUAACGUAGGGAAGCUUACGCUAAUACCGCAUACGACCUACGGGUGAAAGCAGGAGAUCUUCGGACCUUGCGCGAUUGAAUGAGCCGAUGUCGGAUUAGCUAGUUGGCGGGGUAAAGGCCCACCAAGGCGACGAUCCGUAGCUGGUCUGAGAGGAUGAUCAGCCACACUGGAACUGAGACACGGUCCAGACUCCUACGGGAGGCAGCAGUGGGGAAUAUUGGACAAUGGGCGCAAGCCUGAUCCAGCCAUACCGCGUGUGUGAAGAAGGCCUUCGGGUUGUAAAGUCCUUUUGUUGGGAAAGAAAAGCAGCAGGUUAAUACCCCGCUGUUCUGACGGUACCCAAAGAAUAAGCACCGGCUAACUUCGUG